GACAGAGGGUGCAAACGUUGUUCGGAAUUACUGGGCGUAAAGCGCAUGUAGGCGGCCAAGCAAGUCGGGUGUGAAAGCCCAGGGCUCAACCCUGGAAGUGCACUCGAAACUGCUCGGCUGGAGUCUCGGAGAGGAUCGCGGAAUUCUGGGUGUAGAGGUGAAAUUCGUAGAUAUCCAGAGGAACACCAGUGGCGAAGGCGGCGAUCUGGACGAGUACUGACGCUGGAGAUGCGAAAAGCGGUGGGGAGCAAACAGGG
rnacentral:rRNA from 1 species